rnacentral:tRNA from 1 species
GGGCGCUUAGCUCAGCUGGCAGAGCGUCGCCUUUACACGGCGAAUGUCGGGGGUUCGAUCCCCUCAGCGCCCACCA